rnacentral:rRNA from 1 species
GACGAACGCUGGCGGCGUGCUUAACACAUGCAAGUCGAACGGAAAGGCCCUGCUUUUGUGGGGUGCUCGAGUGGCGAACGGGUGAGUAACACGUGAGUAACCUGCCCUUGACUUUGGGAUAACUUCAGGAAACUGGGGCUAAUACCCGAUAGGAGCUCCUGCUGCAUGGUGGGGGUUGGAAAGUUUCGGCGGUUGGGGAUGGACUCGCGGCUUAUCAGCUUGAUGGUGGGGUAGUGGCUUACCAAGGCUUUGACGGGUAGCCGGCCUGAGAGGGUGACCGGCCACAUUGGGACUGAGAUACGGCCCAGACUCCUACGGGAGGCAGCAGUGGGGAAUAUUGCACAAUGGGCGGAAGCCUGAUGCAGCAACGCCGCGUGCGGGAUGACGGCCUUCGGGUUGUAAACCGCUUUCGCCUGUGACGAAGCGUGAGUGACGGUAAUGGGUAAAGAAGCACCGGCUAACUACGUG